UACAGAGGGUGCGAGCGUUGUCCGGAAUCACUGGGCGUAAAGGGCGCGUAGGCGGCCUGAUAAGUAGGGGGUGAAAUCUUGCGGCUCAACCGCAAGGCUGCCUUCUAAACUGUCAGGCUGGAGCACGGUAGAGGCAGAUGGAAUUCCCGGUGUAGCGGUGGAAUGCGUAGAUAUCGGGAGGAACACCUAUGGCGAAAGCAGGCUUCUGGGCCAUCACUGACGCUGAUCUGCGAAAGCUAGGGGAGCAAACAGG
rnacentral:rRNA from 1 species